AGCGAACGCUGGCGGCAGGCUUAACACAUGCAAGUCGAGCGGGUGUAGCAAUACACCAGCGCCAGACGGGUGAGUAACGAGUGGGAACGUACCUUUUAGUUCGGCACAACCAAGGGAAACUUGGGCUAAUACGGGAUAAGCCCUUACGGGGACAGAUUUAUCGCCGAAAGAUCGGGCCGCGUGUGAUUAGCUAGUUGGUGAGGUAAUGGCUCACCAAGGCGACGAUCAGUAGCUGGUCUGAGAGGAUGAUCAGCCACAUUGGGACUGAGACACGCCCCAAACUCCUACGGGAGGCAGCAGUGGGGAAUAUUGGACAAUGGGGGCAGCCCUGAUCCAACCAUGCCGCGUGAUUUAUGAAGGCCCUAGGGUUGUAAAGCUCUUUUGUGCGGGAAGAUAAUGACGGUACCGCAAGAAUAAGCCCCGGCUAACUUCGUGCCAGCCGCCGCAGUAA
rnacentral:rRNA from 1 species